rnacentral:rRNA from 1 species
UGAGGAAUAUUGGUCAAUGGGCGAGAGCCUGAACCAGCCAAAUCGCGUGAAGGAAGACUGCCUUAUGGGUUGUAAACUUCUUUUAUACGGAAUAAAAAGGGACGUGUCCCUUAUUGCAUGUACUGUAUGAAUAAGCAUCGGCUAACUCCGUGCCAGCAGCCGCGGUAAUACGGAGGAUGCGAGCGUUAUCCGGAUUUAUUGGGUUUAAAGGGUGCGCAGGCGGGCUUUUAAGUCAGCGGUGAAAUCUCGGGGCUUAACUCCGAAACUGCCGUUGAAACUGGGAGUCUUGAGUAUGGAUGAAGUAGGCGGAAUUCGUUGUGUAGCGGUGACAUGCUUAGAUAUAACGAGGAACUCCGAUUGCGUAGGCAGCUUACUAAGCCAUAACUGACGCUCAAGCACGAAAGCGUGGGGAUCAAAACAGGAUUAGAUACCCCUGGUAGUCCACGCCGUAAAACGAUGAUUACUAGUUGUAUGCGAUAUACCGUAUGUGACUAAGCGAAAAGCGAUAAGUAAUCCACCUGGGGAGUACGCCGGCAACGGUGAAACUCAAAUGAAUUGACGGGGUCAUAGCUGUUUCCUG